GCCGGGCGCGGUGGCCCGUGCCUAUAGUCUCAGCUACUCAGGAGGUUGAGAUGGGAGGAUCGCUUGAGCCCAGGAGUUCUGGGCUGCAGUGCGCUAUGCCAAUCGGGUGUCCACACUAAGUCCGGCAUCAAUAUGGUGACCUUCCAGGAGCAAGGGACCACCAGGUUGCCUAAGGAGGGGUGAACUGGCCCAGGUCGGAAACGGAGCAGAUCAAAACUCCCGUGCUGAUCAGUAAUGGGAUCGCACCUGUGAAUAGCCACUGCACUCCAGCCUGGGCAACAUAGUGAGACCCCGUCUCU
rnacentral:SRP_RNA from 1 species